UGGAAUUCUUAACCAGCACUCAAUUGUGCAGAUCAGAUGAGGAAACUCACUUCAUACCCAGUGCAUUUGUUGGACCAGGAUCAGUCUGAAAGGAACAGAAAGGUAUAGACAACCUGUAUGGCUCAGAAUGAGCCCAUCCACACUAUGACAAAACACACCUGUAAGCACAGUGUCAACAAAGGCAAAGACAUGGGUUAACUGGCUCCUGCAGGAAGCCUGGUUUCAUUCAUUAACAGAGACAUACGGGCGAUUUAAAAUGAAACUCCUGUUUUCCCUCUGAAGCUUUUCGAGUCUCAAAAUCUUGCACAAAGCCCAAUCUGCUGUCGCCUCAAUGAAAAACAAUAGUAGGUACUCGAAUAAGUAAGACCCGCAUGAGAGUUCACAAGCCCAGCUUGUGCAGAAGGCCACCUGCCAACAGGAAGAAGUGGAGAAGGGCUUGAGAGACUUCUGAGCACAAGUUCACAGAGAGCUGAUCUCCUGUUUCCCAUCACAGCUGUAUCAAAGGGAUUGAGACAGGAAGAAUAAGAGGGAAAGAAGAAGAAAUUACAAAGUACCUCGCCGUAGAGCUGAGUUGAGCUGCUAAAUUCAUCACAGAGCUGCAAACAGCGUGUCUCCCUGGGAUAAAAUGAACCGACAAACUGCCCUAAAGAUCAGCCAGUUAAACACAUUGAAACGCCACUGCCACCGGCGGACACGGAUGGCUGGAGAGCUCGGGAGAGAGCAUCACGGUCGCUCGACGCUCCUCCGGCGCGGCCACUUCCUUGGCGUCCGGGAAUCGCACCUUACGGCUACACGUCGGCGCCGGAUUCACCGCCUUGCAGACGAGGAACCCCCCUCUCCUUCCUCCCCGCCUCAGCCCCCGGUGAACAC